rnacentral:rRNA from 1 species
UACGAAGGGGGCUAGCGUUGCUCGGAAUCACUGGGCGUAAAGGGUGCGUAGGCGGGUCUUUAAGUCAGGGGUGAAAUCCUGGAGCUCAACUCCAGAACUGCCUUUGAUACUGAGGAUCUUGAGUACGGGAGAGGUGAGUGGAACUGCGAGUGUAGAGGUGAAAUUCGUAGAUAUUCGCAAGAACACCAGUGGCGAAGGCGGACUCACUGGCCCGUAACUGACGCUGAGGCACGAAAGCGUGGGAGCAAC